rnacentral:tRNA from 1 species
GAGGGUAUAGCUCAGUGGUAGAGUGCAUGCUUAGCAUACAUGAGGUGAUGGGUUUGAUCCCCAGUACCUCCA